GACGAACGCUGGCGGCGUGCUUAACACUUGCAAGUCGAACGGUAAGGCCCUUCGGGGGGACGACGGUGGGAUGAGCGGCGGACGGGUGAGUAACACGUAAAGAACCUGCCCAUAGGUCUGGGAUAACCACGAGAAAUCGGGGCUAAUACCGGAUGUGUCAUCGGACCGCAUGGUCCGCUGAUGAACGGCGCUCCGGCGUCGCCCAUGGAUGGCUUUGCGGUGCAUUAGGUAGUUGGCGGGGUUACGGCCCACGAAGGCGACGAUGCCUAGCCGACCUGAGAGGGUGAUCGGCCACACUGGGACUGAGACACGGCCCAGACUCCUACGGGAGGCAGCAGUAGGGAAUCUUCCACAAUGGACGAAAGUCUGAUGGAGCAACGCCGCGUGAACGAUGAAGGCUUUCGGGUCGUAAAGUUCUGUUGUAAGGGAAGAACAAGUGCCGCAGGCAAUGGCGGCACCUUGACGGUACCUUGCGAGAAAGCCACGGCUAACUACGUGCCAGCAGCCGCCGUAA
rnacentral:rRNA from 1 species